GGGCCCGUAGCUCAGGUCGGUAGGACGGGAGCCACCUCUCCCGCCCCGAUGGAGAGCACCCGGCUUUUAACCGGGUGGUCCGGGGUUCGAAUCCCCGCGGGCCCG
rnacentral:tRNA from 2 species